AAGGCUUUAAGUUAAAAAAACUAAUAGCCUUCAAAGCUAUAAAUAUAAGAAAUCUUUUAAGCCUUA
rnacentral:tRNA from 1 species